rnacentral:rRNA from 1 species
GCUUAGAAGCAGCCAUCAUUUAAAGAAAGCGUAAUAGCUCACUGGUCGAGUCGGCCUGCGCGGAAGAUGUAACGGGGCUAAACCAUGCACCGAAGCUGCGGCAGCGACACUGUGUGUUGUUGGGUAGGGGAGCGUUCUGUAAGCCUGUGAAGGUGGCCUGUGAGGGUUGCUGGAGGUAUCAGAAGUGCGAAUGCUGACAUAAGUAACGAUAAAGCGGGUGAAAA